rnacentral:rRNA from 1 species
GACGUAGGGCGCGAGCGUUGUCCGGAUUUAUUGGGCGUAAAGAGCUCGUAGGCGGCUUGUUGCGUCGUCCGUGAAAACCUGGGGCUCAACUCCAGGCUUGCGGUCGAUACGGGCAGGCUAGAGUUCGGUAGGGGAGUCUGGAAUUCCUGGUGUAGCGGUGAAAUGCGCAGAUAUCAGGAGGAACACCGGUGGCGAAGGCGGGACUCUGGGCCGAUACUGACGCUGAGGAGCGAAAGCGUGGGGAGCGAACAGG